AUUGAACGCUGGCGGCAGGCCUAACACAUGCAAGUCGAACGGAGUGGCGGACGGGUGAGUAAUGUCUGGGAAACUGCCUGAUGGAGGGGGAUAACUACUGGAAACGGGCGCUAAUACCGCAUACUAUCAGAUGAGCCUAGGCGGGAUUAGAUAGUUGGUGGGGUAAAGGCCUACCAAGGCGACGAUCCGCAACUGGUCUGAGAGGAUGAUCAGUCACACUGGAACUGAGACACGGUCCAGACUCCUACGGGAGGCAGCAGUGGGGAAUAUUGGACAAUGGGCGAAAGCCUGAUCCAGCCAUGCCGCGUGUGUGAAGAAGGUCUUCGGAUUGUAAAGCACUUUAAGUUGGGAGGCGUUACCAACAGAAUAAGCACCGGCUAACUUCGUGCCAGCAGCCGCGGUAAUUC
rnacentral:rRNA from 1 species